UGAGUAACACGUAUCCAACCUGCCGUCUACUCUUGGCCAGCCUUCUGAAAGGAAGAUUAAUCCAGGAUGGCAUCAUGAGUUCACAUGUCCGCAUGAUUAAAGGUAUUUCCGGUAGACGAUGGGGAUGCGUUCCAUUAGAUAGUAGGCGGGGUAACGGCCCACCUAGUCUUCGAUGGAUAGGGGUUCUGAGAGGAAGGUCCCCCACAUUGGAACUGAGACACGGUCCAA
rnacentral:rRNA from 1 species